GAAAGAAGUUGAUGUAGUUUUUGGAGUCUGGUUGUUGCUUUUUCCAAACCUUGUGUUUUUUGUGUCAAUAGGCAUUCUCAGUUCUUCAGGGAAGUGAAUCAAGAGAGACUGAGCCUUUGAGAAGCCAAGAGAAUCUGAAAAGUGACAAUUAUGGACAGAAAAAUGAAGAAAGUAACCAUAGCCCUAGGGAAAUCCUCACCAAAGGGAUGGGCCACAGUGUUGAGUCCCCAUGUCUGACCAAGGACUACCCUUCACAGAUAACUCCCUAAUUGUUCCCUACUUCCUCAAGCUGUAGGUAUUCAGUAGACCAGGAAAAGUCUUCAGAAAUGUAGUCCCCUUGCCACAUUGUACUGAGAAAGUGUGGUGAAUGACUUUAUCCAUCUUGUAUGGGAUGAUAGGGUGAUGUGGUUUUUACUUAUUACUACUCUUAUCUGGAGACUGUCUUUUCCCACAACGUAAGAUCUUCCAGUUCAGUGAUUUCCAAUUCUCUUUGAGCUAUUGAUUACCCCAUAAAACAUGCCAGACAUGCACGACACUUACUCUCAUGUCCUCACAACGAUUCCACAUCUCAUAAGCAAACAAAAGGCCAUGGAGCUUCAGUAGGUUGUCACAGGCAGAUGAUUACUAAACUGUAAAGUUGAAUUUAAAAUCCAGCUGUGUCUCUUAUGAACCUUUGCUGAAAUCACAAGCUGGAGGCUGGCUGAAUGUUGGAGCAGCAGUCUAGCUGGUCCAGGAAGAAUCUGAAUACCUUAUGUGACUCCUUCCCACCUGCUGCAGUCCGGUUUCGUUGCUUCUCACGCAGCAAGACUCCAGAGCAGCUGGUGACUUCCUGGAGUGUUUCCAUUUACAGGUCUCCUAUGCCUCUCUCCAUCUCCUUCUCAUCUCAUUUCCCAGAUGUCAGAAGUUAAGCACCUGAUUCCCUGGCCUACUGUUGCCAUCUUACCAUAGGCCCACAGUGAUGGAGAAAGUGGGCCAUGGAUUGAAGUAUCUGAAAUGGUAACCCCAAAUAAAUUUUUUGUCCCUGUAAGUUGUCUCUUGUAUUUGUCAUGCUGAUGGAAGGUUGGACUAAUGCAGUGUUACAAAAUGCAAAUGGUAAUUUAUAUUAACCAGUGCCUGCCAGUGGCUUGGUCAGUGAAGAGUAU